rnacentral:rRNA from 1 species
CCCUUAGAUGUUCUGGGCCGCACGAGCGCUACACUGAUGCAUUCAACGAGUUUCUUCCUGGUCCGAGAGGAAUGGGUAACCUUUUGAAAGUGCAUCGUGAUAGGGAUAGACUAUUGCAAUUAUUGGUCUUCAACGAGGAAUUCCUAGUAGACGUAGUUCAUCAGACUGCAUCGAUUACGUCCCUGCCCUUUGUACACACCGCCCGUCGCUCCUACCGAUUGAAUGCUCAGGUGAGCCAUUCGGACUUUCAUCAUGCUGGUUUCCAGUUUUGAUGAAGGAAAGUCUUGCGAACCUUAUCAUUUAGAGGAAGGAGAAGUCGUAACA